GACGAACGCUGGCGGCGUGCUUAACACAUGCAAGUCGAACGGAAAGGCCCUGCUUGCAGGGUACUCUAGUGGCGAACGGGUGAGUAACACGUGGGUGAUCUGCCCUUCACUUCGGGAUAAGCCUGGGAAACUGGGUCUAAUACCGGAUAGGAGCCCUUUUUAGUGUGAUGGUUGGAGAGUUUUUUCGGUGUAGGAUGAGCUCGCGGCCUAUCAGCUUGUUGGUGGGGUAAUGGACUACCAAGGCGGCGCCGGGUAGCCGGCCUGAGAGGGUGGACGGCCACAAUGGGACUGAGAUACGGCCCAGACUCCUACGGGAGGCAGCAGGGGGGAAUAUUGCACAAUGGGCGCAAGCCUGAUGCAGCGACGCCGCGUGGGGGAUGACGGCCUUCGGGUUGGAAACUCCUUUCGCUAGGGACGAAGCUUUUUGUGACGGUACCUAGAUAAGAAGCACCGGCUAACUACGUG
rnacentral:rRNA from 1 species